GCCACGUUGCGUUUUAUAGGAAAGAUGCCAGAAGCAUCUUCUACUUUUUCUUUUCCUCUUCGUUUUUCUCUCAGUCGUUCCGUUUCUCUUUAGUUUUCCCGUCUGUCUUUUGAUUUCGGUUCCGAUCGGAUCUUCUCGAAGGUGUUUGGCGUUUUUCCCCUGUUUUGCACAAACGAAUUGCUCCCGUUCAGGAAAUAUUGGUGUUUGAAGAAAUUAAGGCUUAGCAAAGUGUGACUACCUAUGCUUGAAUUAAUGUUGAAGUUUUGAGCUCAAUUAGAUUAAAGUGCAUAGAACAUCCAUAGAAGUGAUUAAUUUUGGUUGAAAAAAAAAAAAAAAAUCUUUGCUGCAUCUCAAUUCCUAUUCUAAUUUUAACUGCCAAGUUAGCUUUCAGCUGUCAAGUUUACAGACAAUUGAUUGUGUUUGUAAGUGCUUUUCACUUUGUUAAUAUUGUGUUCAAGAUUAUAUUUCUUCCUUUUGUUUGACAAUUGUCUGAUUGUAGUUAAUACUGUGGCUCUAAAUUGUAUAUCAAAUCAUUCUUUUCAAAUAUUUCUUUACUUAAGUUAUAAUGUUGAGCUACUUUAUGUUAUAAUUUUAUAACUAGAUAGUACAUUAUCAUAAAAAUAGAAUGUUUUGUUUUUUUUUAUCAAUGUUAUCUAUGCAGUAUAGUCUUUUUGUUUUUUUUUUUUCCUUUACUCUGUAUAUUACCUUUUUAUCUGAGAAGUUACUUUUAAUUUUAGCUUAUACAUUUUAAACCCAUCGGUUCCACGUUGUGUUAAUCAUGAUUCUUGGAACCAUAGAUAGUUUUUAUUUUUGUAGUUAACUGUGUUAUCGUUUUUAGUAAAACUGUGAAUAUCAUAGAUAAAUUAUAUGUAAAAUGCUUUUUUAUAGUCAUAUACUGUGUUAUUAAAAAAGUUAGAUGUUUGCAACAACUGUCAAUAUCACGGAGUGAUAUUACAAUUUUCUAUUGUGAUAACAAUUUUUGUUUUAGUUAACAUAUACAUUUCUUUGAACAUGUGUA